rnacentral:lncRNA from 1 species
AAUUUUUAACAUUGUACAUGAAACCUGACAGUGCACAUGAAAAUGUGAAAGCCAGAGAAAUUAGUGCACAGCACUUAAUAUCCAGAAAGAUUCUUGGCUUUAUAAGUAGAUCUGUUUCAGAUGUGGUGGCCGAGCAUGCCCCCCCUCCCCCACAGUGAUCGAAUUCAAGGCUUUGCCCAUGCUAGACAAUCACUCCACUGCUGAGUUAUACCUCCAGGCCCUUGGGAUUUUUUUUUUUUUUUUUAGUAUACAGUCAUGUGUAACUUAACAAUAGGAUAUAUCUGAAAAAAUGCAUUGUGAAGUGAUUUCACUAUUAUACAAACAUCAGAGAGUGUUCUUACAUAAGCCAGGACAGCUUUGACAUUACUAAGUGAUAUAUAAUCUUAUGGGACUAUCAUCAUAUACAUGGCACAUCAUUGAUGGAAACAUGUGGUCAAUGACUAUUUAAAAUGUAUGUUUGAAGUCGUAUGUCAAAGUCAUAGUCGUGAGGAAUUUGGGGAAAGGAAGUUUUUGGCUUAACAGAUUCUCACUGAAGGAAUAUAACUUUGGUUCUGGUCAAUCAGUUCAUGGCAACAACUUGGACAGAGUGAUUCUAGGAUAGGCAAAUGGCUUGUCCAUUCAGGGUGAAGUUUAGGACUUCAGUUCAGUGAUAACAGAUGGCCUAGACACUCUUAGAAGUCAUCCUGUUGUCAGAAAAGAAGACAGCCUGAAGAGCCAGUACAUGGAAGACUGUGAAGAUGAUCUCAGAGAAAUUAAGCUGAAACC